rnacentral:rRNA from 1 species
ACGCUCGACACCUACGGGAGCAGCAGUGGGGAAUAUUGCACAAUGGGGGAAACCCUGAUGCAGCGACGCCGCGUGGAGGAAGAAGGUCUUCGGAUUGUAAACUCCUGUUGUUGGGGAAAAAGAGGAUGGUACCCAACAAGGAAGUGACGGCUAACUACGUGCCAGGAGCCGCCGGUAAGUACUGAGCGGGCGUGGCGAAGGACG